CAAACGUUGCUUUCGUAAACUGUAGAAUGUAUCAAAUCUGGAUGGUAAGAAAAGUUGCCAUGAAGUGGCGCUAUUUUAAGGAAGGUAAACGUGUACGAUAGUAAACACUUAAUUUUCAAAGAUAGAAUUUGAUUCAGUGCUUCCAAUGUUAAUGCACGACCGUAUGCAUAGGAGACUACGUGCAGACGUAGUAGGAACUAAUGGACAUUGAAGAUCGGUGUUUUGAUCACCGUUGAGCCAAUAGAUGUUUUGCAAAUUUGAUAAAUACAUAUAUAUAAAUGGAUAUGUAUAUAUGCGUGUAUACGUAGUAUGUAAACCAAGCUCGCGUACGUAUAAGCAGUGCAGCUGUGCGGCAUCUCGAUAGCGCGGUAGUACCGAGUACCGACGCAGAUCGAGUGCGUGUGUGAUUUCCCUCGUUGGAGAAAUGUCGUCGGCACUCGUGGCCGCGAAAUAAGCGACGAAACAUGUCCGGACCGAUCGUCAGUCGUGCACAGACACCCGACGGUGAUGUUCAAAUAGGUGCAACAGUGGUUUGCGUAGUUUGUCACAGGACUGACAAGCUGUUAAGGUGUUCACGGUGCAAGGCCGUUUUCUAUUGCACCAAAGAACACCAAAGGUGGGAUUGGAAACGUCAUAAACAAUUUUGUGCUAUUCAUUCUGUACGAUCGACUGUAUCAGAUACAGUUUCGGCUGUUAAUAAAAAUUCCAUUCUGGAGUCUACCAAGAAGGAUUCCUCCCUUGAAAAUUAUCAGUUCUCAAAUACAUCGGCAGUUUCUAACCUAAACGAAAAGCCAGUGUCAGAAACAACGCAAGGAUCGGACACCGUUUCGAAAGUGAAUCAUAACGUGAAGCAUCUUAAAGGAACCAACAAACAAGCAGAAAAAAUAAAAAGACAAUCAAAGGUUAAAGAAAGCCAAAACCUUAAGAGAAAACCUAAUAGCACUAAAGCAAAAGGUACUCGUCAUAGCAGAGUGGAUGGUUGGACUUCUCCAAUAACGUAUGAAGGAAGUUCCGAAGAUACAAUCUUAGGAGCCAGGGCAGAAUUAUUGAAUCCUGCUCUGGAGAGUUCACGAAUUCUUGAUAAUCUUCAAGAUAAUGAAUUAGACAUGCCAACACACCAUCAUAACGGUAUGAAGAACUUCUCUGAAGUUCGUUUGGCACGCGAGGAGGAACUUUUACCACCUUUCCUUCAUAAAAAUAGAAACAAUCUUGAAGAGUUGAUAGAUGAGAUUUGUAGAAACGUGAUUAGGGACAUGGAUGAAUAUGGUGUGUGCGUAGUGGACAAUUUCCUAGGCACAGAGAAAGGUCUCGCAGUGUUAAACGAAGUUUUAAAUAUGUACAGUGCUGGAUUAUUUAAAGAUGGACAGUUGGUUUCUAAUAAAGCAGGUGCAAGUGACUUAAAAACAAUUCGUGGUGAUCAAAUAACGUGGCUGGAUGGUAAAGAAAAACAAUGCCAAAACAUUGGAAUGCUCAUAUCUCAAGUCGAUGCUAUCAUUAUGAGGGCAAAUAAAAUGCGUAACAAUGGGAAAAUGGGGAAUUACAUGAUCAAUGGAAGAACAAAGGCGAUGGUGGCUUGUUAUCCUGGUCACGGUUCGCAUUACGUGAAACAUGUGGACAAUCCUAAUCGAGAUGGACGAUGCAUCACUGCUAUAUACUAUCUUAAUCGAGAUUGGGAUAUCAAGAAAAACGGUGGCCUCUUGAGGAUAUUUCCAGAAGGCUGGCGAGAUCAAGUAGCAGAUAUCGAGCCCCUUUUCGAUAGAAUAUUGUUCUUUUGGUCCGACAGGAGAAAUCCGCACGAGGUACAGCCAGCAUACGAAACCAGAUAUGCGAUCACUCUGUGGUACUUCGAUGCCGAAGAAAGGAACCAAGCUUGCCGAAGAUAUCAAAGGGAAAGCUGAAGUCAUCUGUCAACUGGCUGAAGUCAACUGGACAUCCAUUCAAGUAUCGACGUUAAAAAUUAAUUAAAAAUUACUAUUCGGGGAAUUACACGCGAAGAAAGACAGCUCGUGAGAUAUGGAGUGUGAAGGAUUGUCACACCGUCCGUCGACUGAAAUCGUAACUCUAUUAGCUAAACUUAUACACCUGUACAUAAUUACAUGCAUUGGUACAUAAAAUAUUAUGUAUUAUUAUGUCUUAAGAUAUAGUCGAUUACAGGAGAUACUAAGAUCGAAGUUAUACAAAAGUUUAAGGAUGUACAAUACAUGUAUGCGCGUUUUUUCUUUCUUUUUUUUUUUUUGUCUUUUUUUUUUACAUGCGGCACUGUAAUAUAUUCAAAUGGGUAAGUGCGCAAUAGCUCUUACAGUUCACAGUUAUAUAUAUAUAGUUAUUAAUCUGCGUUUUUUCUAACACUUUAUGCUCAUACUCUAACUGAACUUUUGGGGAGUAAAAUUGUAGCAUUCGCUUGCCACUCGAUUGAAAGUUUGUUCGUUAUCGACACAAUAUUUUUUUUAGCUACUAAUAGUUCGAACAUGAAGAACUUUUACGUCGAUUCGUAAUUCAUACAGUUACUGUAAAUUUAAAAUGCAUAGUGUACAGAGGAUGUGAAUAUGCAUAGGAUGAGAGUGCGUGAAAGAGAAAGAGAGAGAGAAUGUAUAUGAGAGCAAGUAAAAGAAAGUGAUUUGAAUAAUAAAAUAAUGUUUCUAUUUGUAACAAUUUUUGAAACUAUGUCAUAAUUAUUAUAUUUUAAAUACAUUUGUUCCUUUAAUUUGUGUAUAGCUGGAAUUGUUAAUAGCAAUUGAACUCGUUAUUAAUAUAAAAUGCAAUGCUCGCGAAACUCUCACGAUUUAUUAUUGCAUCUCGUAUGUUACACAUUGUUCUACAAAUUAUAAUCCUAACACUGAUGUUUGAUUGAAUGGCCAGUAAUUGACUUAUGCUUCCAGUGUAGAAAAUUGAGAUAUGCCGGGGCCCAGUCUGUACCUGUAAUAUUGUUAUGUACAUUACGAAGAUGUAGAAACACUGUGUUUACUAUUAUAUGUAUCUAUUUAUAUAAAUCGAUAAGGAAAAAAGGAAUAAAAUAAAUGCGUACUUCCUGUGUCUCGCAUAGAAAGUCUAAUAUACAAAUUUGUUAGUCAAUCUGAGAGAGAGAGAGAGAAGUAAGAAGAGUGUUGAAUUUUUCUGAGGUGUAUUAUGUUGAUACUAUUAAACUUAUUCAAUCAUAAGAAUAUUAUAUUAGUAAGUUAUACUUCAAUUCUCUUUUAUUGUAUUAUUGGACACAAAGGGCCAACAAAUCACACAGUAUCCUGAACAAGAGAUUAAGUUAUUUUCAAUAGUUGGACUUGAUUUAAUGUGCUCUUAUAUUUCGUAGUGAAGAUUGUUGUGAAUUAAGUUAUGAACUGAAGAAGCAUUUUCAAAGUAUUGUAAAACUGAUGGAAAUUGUGAUGUGA